rnacentral:rRNA from 1 species
UACCAGCACCCCGAGUGGUCGGGACGAUUAUUGGGCCUAAAGCAUCCGUAGCCGGUUCUGCAAGUCCCCCGUUAAAUCCAGCUGCUCAACAGAUGGGCCGCGGAGGAUACUCCAGAGCUAGGAGGCAGGAGAGGCAAGCGGUACUCAGUGGGUAGGGGUAAAAUCCGUUGAUCCAUUGAAGACCACCAGUGGCGAAGGCGGCUAACUGGUCCAGAUCUGACGCUGAGGUGCGAAAGCGUGGGGAGCAAACAGG